rnacentral:misc_RNA from 1 species
GGGUGGGGGUGGUGGUGUGGGGGAGGAAUGGGUGAAAGUGUUGUCCUCAAGAAUUAUGCUAUACCAAGGAGACUUCUGAUUACAUUAUUGUACAGGCAAAUCAAAUAAUGUUGCACCACUUUGUGUAGUUUAUGAAAAUCUAUGGAAUACAGCAAACACUAAUAACAAAAAUGUUAUAAUUCUUCCGCUUAUCAGGUGAGAAGCUGCAGAAACAUUGUGAGGCCCGACGGAAUACACUGAACCAGAACUUUCAUCCCUCACUUUGAUGCUUGAAGAGCAGUUGUACUCUGUCCAUCCAAUUGCCUGAUUUUCGAUGUCAUAUAAAACAAGCUUAUUUGAAAGCACCAAAUCUCCUAAAAGAGUCAUAUCCCUACCAUCCUUAGAUUGCACCCCACUGUUUUGCCAACCAAAACACCAUACAUCAUCACGAAUUUGGAACAGAUAGUCAUGUGGAUAAACACUCAAAGUAAGCGAAUCUUCAAAAUGAAACUUGACAACCGGAAAUCCAUCAUCAACAUUUCCACUGUACUGAAAGCACAGAAACUGCUCCUCAACAGUAUGCAAUUUCAAUCCAGGUUGCUGGGCCACAAUCUUAGUCAUCAUUGAAUCAUAAACUGUCUCUGGAAGAUAUGCCAAGGUAGUACCACUGUCGAUUAUUGUUCCUUUCCGAUCUCCAGAAUCAAAUGUAUCUGUUGGAAGUUCCAGAACAUUAUUGCCCACCUCUAUUUCCUUCAUGACAACAUUGUAAUGCGGCUGAUUUGCUACCAUUGGAGUUGUAUUUGCUUUUGGUGAGACUACCUCCCCAAUAGCAAAGAUUCCACCUCCAUUUGCAUUGUCCAGGCAAUGCGCAAACAUUUUUUUAACCUUUCCUGCUGCAGCAAGUUGUGAAAUCAUGGAUGAGUUUGCCUGCCCAAAACCAAGUAUUCCAUCCAGUGCUUCACUGGAUGUACCUAACUCCCCAGAUUGUUUGGCUCCACAUCCAAAUAUAACACUUCCAUUCGCUGAUGCAGUUUGAAGAUUUCCGGUAACUCUUUCAAACUGCAAAUUGUCCCUCACAAAGAAUCCAGCUGUUGAGCUUCCGUCACCAUAAACAACAUUGUAUUGGCAGGGAAUGUCUUUUGUGCAACCCUGGAGCACGCCGUUGUAUGUAGCAGCACAAAAUUCAUCAUCACAAUAAAUCUUUGUAGCAGAAGCAGAAGUCGUUGGAUCAUACAAUGUCAAUUUUACACCAAGAUCACUUUUUGUGGGACACCUGUCGCAGUUGGCACAAUUCACCCACAGAAUGUCACUGCCAGUAUCAACUUGCACAAAGUAGUCCUUUGGUGGAUUUCCAAGCCCAAUUUUGGCAAAGUAAAGGCCAGCUUCAGCUGGAUGGCCAUUGCCACCUAAAGGGAGAUCGACAGCGGAGAGAAUUCUCCGGUGACGGCGAGCAUCAUGGGCUUUUAAUGCGCUGAGGCUGCGUUCUUUACCAGCAAACUUAUUUUGGACCUUAAAAACGACAUUCCCAGAAGCUAAAAACACAAAACCCAAUUGAAAAAGAACCGCCACCGUUAAACCCACCAGCAAUCUCCUCAGAUCCAUCGUCACGCACCGCCACCAAAGUCUCAAGUGCCUUUGCUAUCAAAAAGAAAAGUAAUCGAGCUAAAUUAAAUUAAGCUCGUAUUUAAUUUUCUUCCCGGCUUUUGUUAUCGUCUUCUUUCUCCCUCUCUCCCUCUCUCCCUUUCGGUAUUAAGAGAAAGGUAUUAAGGCGGCGGUUCUGAGAGAUUUCUUAGGCGGUUGAAAUUGAAAGAAAGAAAGAAAGAAAGAAAGAAAAGGGUAUGAGAAAGAAAAGAAGAGAAGUGGAAGGAAAGGUUCACAAUGCCCGCAAUGCCCGUUUUCAACGGCAAACCACACGUCCGUCCUUACAAUGUAACGUGAAGAGAACGUUGGUCUACUUCUUCGGCUUCUUUUUU